rnacentral:rRNA from 1 species
AGUGAACGCUGGCGGUAGGCCUAACACAUGCAAGUCGAACGGAAGCACAGUAAGAGCUUGCUCUUACGGGUGGCGAGUGGCGGACGGGUGAGGAAUACAUCGGAAUCUAAUUUUUCGUGGGGGAUAACGUAGGGAAACUUACGCUAAUACAGCAUACGACCUACGGGUGAAAGCAGGGGAUCUUCGGACCUUGCGCGAUUGAAUGAGACGAUGUCGGAUUAGCUAGUUGGCGGGGUAAAGGCCCACCAAGGCGACGAUCCGUAGCUGGUCUGAGAGGAUGAUCAGCCACACUGGAACUGAGACACGGUCCAGACUCCUACGGGAGGCAGCAGUGGGGAAUAUUCGACAAUGGGCGCAAGCCUGAUCCAGCCAUACCGCGUGGGUGAAGAAGGCCUUCGGGUUGUAAAGCCCUUUUGUUGGGAAAGAAAAUCAGCAGGUUAAUACCCCGCUGUUCUGACGGUACCCAAAGAAUAAGCACCGGCUAACUUCGUG